AUGAGUUUAGUUCUGGAAAUAUCUCCAUCAGACUUGACAACAUUUCUGUUGAGGAUGAUAAGAACACAUUCUUUACCUACGUUAAUUUAUAUGAUGAGCAGAAAAAAGUCACCAAACAGUCUCAAAAACAAUGCAUAUUCACGCUGCAGGUUUCAGGUAAAUUCAGAAGCUUCUUCACACCAAACCUCAAUAAAUCUCUCCUCAUAUCAAAGUGCUGUAAAUGUCUCAGUUGUUCUUUCUGUCACACUCACAGCUCCCUACCAGGAUCUGGUCCUGACAGUUAACCACACAACCAACAGUGCAACCUGCUCAGCACGAGGAGGAUACCCUGCAGCUCAGGUAUCAUGGAAGGGUCUGAACAGAUCCAGUGAUGAACAAAUGGACCUGCAGGAUGCUGAGACGUUCCUGCAGCAGGCUCCAACAGAGAAAACCUUCUCCUUCACAAGCUCUGUCAACGUUACAGGGUUAAAGUCUGUAACCUGCAUCGUCUACAACCCUCACUCCAACAAGACCAUUAACAAAACUAUGGAGUUGGUGGAGAUCAACACUGCUGAUCCUCCUGGUGUGUGGAUCACAACGCCAACCUUCUCUACUCCUUCCCAGGAUGAAAACGGGAGGCAUCAUUUUCUAAUAAUUGCAGCUGUUGUCCUCUUCAUCAUCCUCAUCCUCAUCCUUGCUGGUUUCUGUCGGUGGUACAAAAGUCAAUGUCCAGUUCCAGGACCAGUUCUAGAACUGAACCCAGAACCAGACGUCCCUAAUCUCCAAGAUGCAGUUCAAGAAGAAGCUCCAGAUUUAAAUCCAGAUGCAGCUCGAGAACCAGUCGAUCCUAAUCCCCAAGACCCAGUUCAAGAAGAAGCUCCAGCUCCAGAUCAAGCUCCAGGUCCAGAUCAAGAUCAGGAUCCAGAUCAAGCUCCAGGUCCAGAUCAAGAUCAGGAUCCAGAUCAAGCUCCAGGUCCAGAUCAAGAUCAAGAUCAAGAUCAAGAUCAAGAUCAAGAUCCAGAUCAAGCUCCAGGUCCAGAUCAAGAUCAGGAUCCAGAUCAAGCUCCAGGUCCAGAUCAAGAUCAAGAUCAAGCUCCAGGUCCAGAUCAAGAUCAAGCUCAAGGUCCAGAUCAAGAUCAGGAUCCAGAUCAAGCUCCAGGUCCAGAUCAAGAUCAAGCUCCAGGUCCAGAUCAAGAUCAGGAUCCAGAUCAAGCUCCAGGUCCAGACCAAGAUCAGGAUCAGGAUCCAGAUCAAGCUCCAGGUCCAGAUCAAGAUCAGGAUCAGGAUCCAGAUCAAGCUCCAGCCAACCAACCACCAGCCGAACAUGAUCCCCAAGAUGGAGCUGAAGCUGAAGAUGCAGACGCAGCAGAACCUGCCCCAGACCCAGUUCAGGAGGAAGGUGAGCUGCAUUUAGCUGAUAGCAGCAGCUAGUUUGGAAAUGCCAACUGAGAUCAUUCAAACCUAAGAACUCAUAAUAAUAAAAUAAUGAUAAUAAUAGUUAAUGUCUCUCUUUCUCUUUCUAACCUCUCAGCAGCUGAUCCAUCUGAGGACACUGUUCUACUAUCUAAGGAUCGAGCUGUGUUUCACUGUCAGACAAAGACGAGUGAAGGUACUGCAGACUGCGACACCUGUGAGGACGCUGCUGCUUCACCAGAGAAAGAAAAACUGCUGGAAAAAGAAAAUGGAAAUGAAGACAGCGCCUCUGAUUGAGUCAGAGUGUUUAUGAGAACCUGGAUCAGAACUGAGUCAGGGAGGCAACAACCUGAAGAACUACUGCACAUGGACUAAACUGAUCCUUGAAGACUUGAUCAGACAAACUCAGGUCCAUUAAACUGUGGUCCAUUAGCUGUUAGUCAAACUCUGGUGCUGAAUAAAUAACCGGACAAAGCAAACAGACCAACAACAGUAUGUUGGGAUAGUUCUGUGUGUUUCUUCUCUGGUGUCACACAGAGCAGCCAGCUGGACUGUGGUUCUGGAGAAGAUGAGGAUAAAAACCGCGUUUCUUUACUAAGUCUGGCAACUUUUAUCAAUCCACAUGAAGAAUCUCACGUCUCACAGGGACUGAACGAAGGUCUGUUUAUUUUCAUACACAGAAUCCACAUUAUCUCCACAAUGAAGGCUCAACUUUGUUUGUUCACACUGAACCAACAGCUCCAUCUGAAAGGUGCUCAACUGUGUCCAGUUUAUUUAAACAGCCUGUCGGCCAAGCAGAACCAGAAGUGGUGUGACGGUACACAUCAUGAUGUUGACAUCCGUGUGUUUCUCAGUGUCACCUGUUAAUCUGAUCACGAACCUGCUGACUGUUUAUAAUCAUAUGGAUGUUGUUCUGAUGUGUUGUUGAGAUCCAGACCCACCAAACAUCCUGGAAGGUGUCAAAGUUACGUUUUUUGCUCUAAGUUACAUAAUUACAUCGUCACCAUCAGUAAACAGAACGCUGUCUACCUCUAUCACUCACAGGGAGGGAGGAUGUUUUCUGGGGGAAAGUUUCAGGCCGACCGUCACUGUGAUUCUUUACAAUACAAGUUAAAAGUUGGUAGGACAGACAGGACGACAGACAGGAUGACAGACAGGAUGACAGACAGGACGACAGACAGGAUGACAGACAGGAUGACAGACAGGAUGACAGACAGGAUGACAACUCUUUUCUUCAAUGUUACCAAAGACACUUCCAGUUUCCUCAGUACUGUUGUUUGGUCCUGUUACAUUACUUUUUGGGUUGAAGUUUGGAACAUUUCUCUGUUAUUUGAUGAGUGAAGGAAUUAUUUAUCCAUCAGACUGAACACCAUCAGACAGACACACUGCGGUCCACACUGACGCCAAACUGUCCUCCCUUAUUAUUAUCAGGACAUGAUUCCCACCUUGAAAGCGCAGUUUGAACAGGGCUGUGGUCUGUCGAUUUAUUAUGUUGCCUCCUAUUUAUUUUAUUUUUUAUUGAGUGUCCAGUGAGUGUUUUUGUAUCGUCAGUGUGUCUAAAUGUUGGGGUUUGUGUUCAAAGUGUUGGGAUUUUUCUGAUAAACGAUGGUGCUUGAAAAUGUAUUUGAUUGACUGUAUUGUCUUGUGUGUCACUUUAUUAUAUAAAACUAAGUACAAAAAUGGUCAGAAGAAGUUGUGUGUGAACCAAAAUUGAGAACAAACAGAAUAAUUAGGAAUAAACAAAAUGCUUCCACUCAAAUGGAGAGAAGGGAAAGUGUCACCUGUGUGAACUGAGAGAACUGAAGUCCGAUAUAUGACCCUCGUGAGCAAAGAACUAAUCCUCUAUUUACAUGUGCAAGAGGGCAGAAAGAGAAAAACACUGAGCUUAAUCUGAUGAUCUCACAUUAUUUAAAAGUGUACAACCGUUCAUCUGUGAACUUCCUUAACGUUCAAGGCCUUAAAAAGAAACUCAAACCACUUGCUGUCGUGUCUCCCUGGUUUAAGAUUCCCAAACAACUUUUUCAUAUAGAAGACAAUGAUGACCAUCAAGAUAAUCUAAGGGUGGAGCGAUGAACUGAGUGUAGUGGAGUGAGAGUGGAGACAGAGGCAUGUCUUUAGAAAACAUCACCUCAAUCCAGGACGGAUACAAACAGCUUUAAUUAGCCAUUUCCUGUAGAACAUCAGGGAAGUAGUUCUGUGUUUGUGUUAAUAACCAUUUCUUUGUCUUAGCUUGCUAACAAGUUCCGUCCCAUUGUCUUUUCCACUUAUCCGUGAGGGUCCCAGGAUGUUGCUGCAUUUUUCCCGCUAAGGGGUUGUGAUGCUUACUGAAGCCAAAUCCAGUUUUAUGGGCGAAGGCCAGGGUACACCCUGGAUGAGUUGCCAGCUCAUUGCAGGACCCUUACUGAUGGCAGUGGCUGCCACACAAGGUGCCAACUGCACAUCAGGAGCAACUUUGGGGUUCAGUAUCUUGCUCAAGGAUACUUCAUCAUGUAGCACAGUCUCGCCCCAGGGGAGCCGGGAUUCAAACCAGUCACCUGCUGCUAACAAGUGUAUUGAUAUAAAAUUUAAAAUGGCUUUAUGUGCAGGACUGUAUUAUCAGCAUAUAGACAGGCGUUAUAGUUUGUUACAGAGGAUGUAAUAUUGUUAAUAUAGCUUGUGAAAAAGACAGGACCGAGUAUUGAACCUUGCAGAACCUUUAGACGAUGGUAAAAACACGGAGAGAUCGUUUCCUUCAGUCACACGUUGUUGUCUGUGAGACAGGUAGUUCUUGAACCAGUUACAGGAAUUACAAUCAAAACCAACAUCACUUAACCUCUGUAUUAGCAGACGAUGGUCAACAGGAUCAAAAGCUUCUGUCAGAUCCACAGAGAAGGCAGCACAGUUUUCACUUCAUCAAUGACAGGACCAUGAAGCCCAACACUGAAAAAGCGGGGCCCCGAUUUUAUUCUGGCACUGUGCACAUCACUGACCUGCUGUAAAUCCAGACUUUGAUCAUAUAAUUGCAACUUUAUAGCCUCAUGUGAGGCAGCAGGUGUGAUGAGUGCUUGGUGCAGGCCUGUGAGUCCCAUUUUUAUGCUCCAUAGCAAACUGAAACCAUUUUUUCCAACUGGCAUCACUGAUGAGUGGUUUAAUUAAGACUGUGCAGCUGUUUAGUCCCAAUCCCUUGAGUCCUCUUCACAUUAUGUGUGUGGAGACACUCUUACUUUCUAAAUUUUAUAACACCAUCAUUAAAUCCAUCUCAUAAUUGUGAACUUCAGACGAGUGAUAUCAAAGUGACCUUGAUACGUGACACGUUUCUGUUUAUCAUUUGGUGACUAUGUUAACGCUUGGUUUGUGGGUCUGUUUAUGUGUAUCCUACUCUGUGACACACUGAUCCUACAGUAAUAACUACAUACAGUACAAAUUGUGUUCUUUUGGGCCGGGAUCUCCAGCCCCUUUUGGUUUGUUCUGUUAAACUUGUAAACAAAUAAACUUUGAAUAUUUCAUUUAAAAUAUGUCUCUGGUGUCCUUUUAUAUAUCGUGAU
ensembl:lncRNA